rnacentral:rRNA from 1 species
GACGAACGCUGGCGGCGUGCUUAACACAUGCAAGUCGAACGAAGAGCGAUGGAAGCUUGCUUCUAUCAAUCUUAGUGGCGAACGGGUGAGUAACGCGUAAUCAACCUGCCCUUCAGAGGGGGACAACAGUUGGAAACGACUGCUAAUACCGCAUACGAUCUAACCUUGGCAUCGAGGAUGGAUGAAAGGUGGCCUCUAUUUAUAAGCUAUCACUGAAGGAGGGGAUUGCGUCUGAUUAGCUAGUUGGAGGGGUAACGGCCCACCAAGGCGAUGAUCAGUAGCCGGUCUGAGAGGAUGAACGGCCACAUUGGGACUGAGACACGGCCCAGACUCCUACGGGAGGCAGCAGUGGGGAAUCUUCCGCAAUGGACGAAAGUCUGACGGAGCAACGCCGCGUGAGUGAUGACGGCCUUCGGGUUGUAAAGCUCUGUUAAUCGGGACGAAAGGCCUUCUUGCGAAUAGUUA